rnacentral:rRNA from 1 species
GAUGAAUGCUGGCGGCGUGCCUAACGCAUGCAAGUCGAACGGACAUUUUUUGGAAAGCUCUUCGGAACUGGAAUCUAAAUGUUAGUGGCGGACGGGUGAGUAACGCGUGAGCAAUCUGCCUUUCAGAGGGGGAUAACAGCCGGAAACGGCUGCUAAUACCGCAUAAUGCAUUGGAUUCGCAUGUUUCUGAUGCCAAAGAUUUUAUCGCUGAAAGAUGAGCUCGCGUCUGAUUAGCUAGUUGGCGGGGUAACGGCCCACCAAGGCGACGAUCAGCAGCCGGUCUGAGAGGAUGAACGGCCACAUUGGGACUGAGACACGGCUCAA